GCAAUGGAUCUGUGCUUACUUCACCUUUACAUGGUCCUGCUCGGAAGAGCCUCCUGAAUACCAAGUAAUCCAUGAAGUGUAUUUAAGCACAGUAUUACUAGAACAAGAUUGCUGCAUCAUUUGUGAACUUUCCCAUGGGGAAGAGAAAGGCAAAGCUGCAAUAAAUCUCCA